rnacentral:misc_RNA from 1 species
UCCGAGUUGACCCCGGCGGUCUCCCAUGAGUCCCCACCCGAAGUGCUGGCAACAUGGAACGAGGGUUGCGCUCGUUGCGGGACUUAACCCAACAUCUCACGACACGAGCUGACGACAGCCAUGCACCACCUGUGAUGGUGUCCCGAAGGAAAGGUGUGUUUCCACACCGGCCACCAACAUGUCAAGCCCAGGUAAGGUUCUUCGCGUUGCGUCGAAUUAAUCCGCAUGCUCCGCCGCUUGUGCGGGCCCCCGUCAAUUCAUUUGAGUUUUAACCUUGCGGCCGUACUCCCCAGGCGGUCUACUUAGUGCGUUAGCUGCGCCACCAAAACCUCAAGGGUCCCGACGGCUAGUAGACAUCGUUUACGGCGUGGACUAC